GUAGACAGCACCCGGACUUCCCCGGUGGUCACCCACCCGAGUACUACCCGAGCUUGAGGCUGCUUAACUUCGCAGAGCGAACGGGAU
rnacentral:rRNA from 1 species